rnacentral:rRNA from 1 species
UUGAUCAUGACUCAGAACGGACGCUGGCGGCAGGCUUACCACAUGCAAGUCGAGCGCCCCCGCAAGGGGAAGCGGCAGACGGGUGAGUAACGCGUGGGAAACGUGCCCUUUGGUUCGGAACAACUCCGGGAAACUGGAGCUAAUACCGGAUAAGCCCUUCGGGGGAAAGAUUUAUCGCCAAAGGAUCGGCCCCGCGUCUGAUUAGCUAGUUGGUGAGGUAAUGGCUCACCAAGGCGACGAUCAGUAGCUGGUCUGAGAGGAUGAUCAGCCACACUGGGACUGAGACACGGGCCCAGACUCCUACGGGAGGCAGCAGUGGGGAAUAUUGGACAAUGGGCGCAAGCCUGAUCCAGCCAUGCCGCGUGAGUGAUGAAGGCCUUAGGGUUGUAAAGCUCUUUUGUCCGGGAAGAUAAUGACUGUACCGGAAGAAUAAGCCCCGGCUAACUUCGUGCCGGCAGCCGCGGUAAUACGAAGGGGGCUAGCGUUGUUCGGAAUCACUGGGCGUAAAGCGCACGUAGGCGGACUUUUAAGUCAGAGGUGAAAGCCUGGAGCUCAACUCCAGAACUGCCUUUGAUACUGGGAGUCUCGAGUUCGGAAGAGGUUGGUGGAACUGCGAGUGUAGAGGUGAAAUUCGUAGAUAUUCGCCAAGAACACCAGUGGCGAAGGCGGCCAACUGGUCCGAUACUGACGCUGAGGUGCGAAAGCGUGGGGAGCAAACAGGAUUAGAUACCCUGGUAGUCCACACCGUAAACGUUGGGCGCUAGGUGUGGGGCCUAUUCCAUGGGUUCCGUGCCGCAGCUAACGCAUUAAGCGCCCCGCCUGGGGAGUACCCGCAAGGCUAAAACU